ACGGGAGGCAGCAGUGAGGAAUAUUGGUCAAUGGGCGGAAGUCUGAACCAGCCAAGUAGCGUGCAGGAUGACGGCCCUAUGGGUUGUAAACUGCUUUUGUGCGGGGAUAAAAAGCGGGACGUGUCCCGCCUUGUAGGUACCGCAAGAAAAAGGACCGGCUAAUUCCGUGCCAGCAGCCGCGGUAAUACGGAAGGUCCGGGCGUUAUCCGGAUUUAUUGGGUUUAAGGGAGCGCAGGCGGCCUUUUAAGGGUGUGGUGAAAUGUAGGCGCUCAACGUCUGCACUGCCACGCGAACUGGAGGGCUUGAGUGCGGUGAACGCUGGCGGAAUUCGUGGUGUAGCGGUGAAAUGCUUAGAUAUCACGAAGAACUCCGAUUGCGAAGGCAGCUGGCGGUACCGUUACCGACGCUCAUGCUCGAAAGUGUGGGUAUCGAACAGGAUUAGAUACCCUGGUA
rnacentral:rRNA from 1 species